rnacentral:rRNA from 1 species
GACGAACGCUGGCGGCGUGCCUAAUACAUGCAAGUAGAACGCAGUUGCGAACGGGUGAGUAACGCGUAGGUAACUGCCUCAUAGCGGGGGAUAACUAUUUGAAACGAUAGCUAAUACCGCAUUCUGUGAGAUGGACCUGCUUUGUAUUUGCUAGUUGGGGGGGUAAAGGCUCACCAAGGCGGCGAUACAUAGCCGACCUGAGAGGGUGAACGGCCACACUGGGACUGAAACACUGCCCAGGCUGCUACGGGAGGCAGCAGGAGGGAAUCUUUGGCAAUGGGCGGAAGUCGGACCGAGCAACGCCGCGGGAGGGAAGAAGGUUUUCGGGUCGGAAAGCUCCGUUGUUAGAGAAGCGGUAACUAACGAGGAAGGGACGGCUAACUACGUGCCAGCAGCCGCGGUAAUAC